rnacentral:rRNA from 1 species
AUUGAACGCUGGCGGCAGGCCUAACACAUGCAAGUCGAGCGAGCGGCGGACGGGUGAGUAAUGUCUGGGGACUGCCCGAUAGAGGGGGCUAACUACUGGAAACGGUAGCUAAUACCGCAUACUAUCAGAUUACCCAUAUGGGAUUAGCUGGUAGGUAAGGUAACGGCUUACCUAGGCGACGAUCCCUAGCUGGUCUGAGAGGAUGACCAGCCACACUGGGACUGAGACACGGCCCAGACUCCUACGGAGGCAGCAGUGGGGAAUAUUGCACAAUGGGCGCAAGCCUGAUGCAGCCAUGCCGCGUGUAUGAAGAAGGCCUUCGGGUUGUAAAGUACUUUCAGUCGGGAGGCGUUACCGACAGAAGAAGCACCGGCUAACUCCGUGCCAGCAGCCGCGGUAAUAC